rnacentral:lncRNA from 1 species
UCACGGCCUUUGGCAUGGAAGGGCUUCCAAAUGGAUGCUGUAGCACUGACAUUUUCAUUAGUUGACAGGGAAAUUAUUACAUUUUUAGGGAUUUGUGAAUUUAAGCAUAGAUGAUUACUUCCAAUGUUAGAGUUUUGCAAACGGGAAGCCUUGUUGCUCAGUUUACUAAUUUAUUUUGUGAUCUGUGACUAAACUGAGUAAAAAUGCAAAUAGUACAAGGCCUUUUCCAUUUUAUCUCCGGAUCAGUUUACUGAAGGGGGGAUCAGAGUCACUAAACACUCGAGCACUCUUGUGAUUCCUAAGUAGUUGGGCAUUAAAAGCAACGAAAGUGAAGACUGGGAUGAUUGCUGUGAGUCACACAGGGAGGUUUAAAUGAAACCUCGUUAUUUAUUUUAGGUUUAAAAUGAAGAGUCUCCAGCUCAGUUUUAUUGGCCAUUGUGACAACACAAACAGAUAUUUGAACCUGUUGCUUUGCUGAAGCCAACUGACUGCUGCUCUAGAAUGUGAUGCUUAAGUUAAUAAAAGAAGGAAUUGAAAAUGGAGCAGUUUGUAAUAUGAAGAAACCAAUCGCAGCAACCCUGACAUCCUUCUCUCCCACCUCCUCCACAGCUCCUGACGUUCUGGUCAUUCUGACUUCCAGGUUCUGCUGACCUAACCUUAUUUUCUACUUCCUCUGGAUCACUGAUACUCUACAAAACAAAGGAACAGGUAUAAAUAAUCUCUAGGAUGCUUCCUGUUAGUAGCUUGAUGUUACCACCACUCACCUUUCUCACUCUCUCUACAGUUAACGUUUUCCACGAAGUAAAGUGUGUUCAAACACUAGGGUUAGAUUUGCAUCUCAACUCUACCACUUAAUGGAGGUUUGCCUCUGGGAAACUUGUUACAGCAUGUUAUUACAGUAAAGGUUAUGUGAAUGAGAUAUCUCUUGCUUUCAAAACAUCAUACUGUACUACACAGUACUUUUGUACCACGGGUGACCAUGUGUAACUGAAACUGGACUACUGUAGGUUCUCAGUGAAUGGUGACUUCCUUCAACUUUAGCUUCCAUCCAUCUGUGUAUUUGAAAACCUGGAUUUAACUCCAUCUCUUCCUCGAAGCGUUCUCUGAUAAAUGCAGUCCAACUUCUGUUAC